rnacentral:rRNA from 1 species
AUACGUAGGUGACAAGCGUUAUCCGGAUUUACUGGGCGUAAAGGGCGUGUAGGCGGUCUUGCAAGUCAGAAGUGAAAUUCCUGAGCUCAACUCGGGCGCUGCUUCUGAAACUGCAGGACUUGAGUGCUGGAGGGGAUAUCGGAAUUCCCGGUGUAGCGGUGAAAUGCGUAGGGAUCGGGAGGAACACCAGUGGCGAAGGCGGGUAACUGGACUGCAACUGACGCUGAGGCGCGAAAGUGUGGGGAGCAAACAGGAUUAGAUACCCUGGUAGUCCACACUGUAAACGAUGAAUGCUAGGUGUAAGAGGUAUCGACCCCUUUUGUGCCGGAGUCAACACAAUAAGCAUUCCGCCUGGGGAGUACGGCCGCAAGGUUGAAACUCAAAUGAAUUGGCGGGG